rnacentral:rRNA from 1 species
AUUGAACGCUGGCGGCAUGCCUUACACAUGCAAGUCGAACGGUAACAGGUCUUCGGAUGCUGACGAGUGGCGAACGGGUGAGUAAUACAUCGGAACGUGCCUAGUAGUGGGGGAUAACUACUCGAAAGAGUGGCUAAUACCGCAUGAGAUCUACGGAUGAAAGCAGGGGAUCGCAAGACCUUGUGCUACUAGAGCGGCCGAUGGCAGAUUAGGUAGUUGGUGGGAUAAAAGCUGACAAAGCCGACGAUCUGUAGCUGGUCUGAGAGGACGAUCAGCCACACUGGGACUGAGACAUGGCCCAGACUCCUACGGGAGGCAGCAGUGGGGAAUUUUGGACAAUGGGCGAAAGCCUGAUCCAGCAAUGCCGCGUGCAGGAUGAAGGCCUUCGGGUUGUAAACUGCUUUUGUACGGAACGAAAAGCCCCGGGUUAAUACCCUGGGGUCAUGACGGUACCGUAAGAAUAAGCACCGGCUAACUACGUGCCAGCAGCCGCCGUAA